rnacentral:rRNA from 1 species
AUACGUAGGGGGCGAGCGUUGUCCGGAAUUACUGGGCGUAAAGCGCACGUAGGCGGCUAUAUAAGUCAGAUGUGAAAAACCUGGGCUUAACCGAGGGUAUGCAUCUGAAACUAUAUAGCUUGAGUCAAGGAGAGGAGAGCGGAAUUCCUGGUGUAGCGGUGAAAUGCGUAGAGAUCAGGAAGAAUACCAGUGGCGAAAGCGGCUCUCUGGACUUGAACUGACGCUGAGGUGCGAAAGCGUGGGGAGCAAACAGGAUUAGAUACCCGGGUAGUCCACGCCGUAAACGAUGGAUACUAGGUGUGGGUGAGGAAUCAUCCGUGCCGGAGUUAACGCAAUAAGUAUCCCGCCUGGGGAGUACGGCCGCAAGGUUGAA